rnacentral:rRNA from 1 species
ACGUACCCUUUACUACGGGAUAACGCAGGGAAACAUGUGCUAAUACCGUGUGUGCCCUUAGGGGGAAAUAUUUAUCGGUAAAGGAUCGGCCCGCGUUGGAUUAGCUAGUUGGUGGGGUAAAGGCCUACCAAGGCGACGAUCCAUAGCUGGUCUGAGAGGAUGAUCAGCCACAUUGGGACUGAGACACGGCCCAAACUCCUACGGGAGGCAGCAGUGGGGAAUAUUGGACAAUGGGCGCAAGCCUGAUCCAGCCAUGCCGCGUGAGUGAUGAAGGCCCUAGGGUUGUAAAGCUCUUUCACCGGACAAGAUAAUGACGGUAUCCGGAAAAGAAGCCCCGGCUAACUUCAUGCCAACAUCCGCGGUAAGACAAAGGGGGCUAGCGUUGUUCGGAAUUACUGGGCGUAAAGCGCACGUAGGCGGAUCGAUCAGUCAAGGGUGAAAUCCCAGGGCUCAACCCUGGAACUGCCUUUGAUACUGUCGAUCUGGAGUAUGGAAUAGGUGAGUGGAAUUCCGAGUGUACAUGUGAAAUUCGUAGAUAUUCGGAGGAACACCAGUGGCGAAAGCGGCUCACUGGUCCAUUACUGACGCUGAGGUGCGAAAGCGUGCGGAGCAAACAGGAUUACAUACCCUGGUAGUCCACGCCGUAGACGAUGAAUGUUAGCCGUCAGGCAGUAUACUGUUCCGUGGCGCUGCUAACGCAUUAAACAUUCCGCCUGGGGAGUACGGUCACGAGAUUAAAACUCCACGGAAUUGACGGGGGGCCGCACAAGCGGUGGAGCAUGUGUCUUUAUUCGAAGCUACGCGCAUUGCCUGACGAGCCCUUGAACUGCGCAGCGACCUGCAG